UGGGGAAUUUUGGACAAUGGGCGAAAGCCUGAUCCAGCAAUGCCGCGUGUGUGAAGAAGGCCUUCGGGUUGUAAAGCACUUUUGUCCGGAAAGAAAUCCUUGGCUCUAAUACAGUCGGGGGAUGACGGUACCGGAAGAAUAAGCACCGGCUAACUACGUGCCAGCAGCCGCGGUAAUACGUAGGGUGCAAGCGUUAAUCGGAAUUACUGGGCGUAAAGCGUGCGCAGGCGGUUUGCUAAGACCGAUGUGAAAUCCCCGGGCUCAACCCGGGAACUGCAUUGGUGACUGGCAGGCUAGAGUAUGGCAGAGGGGGGUAGAAUUCCACGUGUAGCAGUGAAAUGCGUAGAGAUGUGGAGGAAUACCGAUGGCGAAGGCAGCCCCCUGGGCCAAUACUGACGCUCAUGCACGAAAGCGUGGGGAGCAAACAGGAUUAGAUACCCUGGUAGUCCACGCCCUAAACGAUGUCAACUAGUUGUUGGGGAUUCAUUUCCUUAGUAACGUAGCUAACGCGUGAAGUUGACCGCCUGGGGAGUACGGUCGCAAGAUUAAAACUCAAAUGAAUUGACGGGGUCAUAGCUGUUCCU
rnacentral:rRNA from 1 species